UAAGACGAACCGUGCGAACGUUAUUCGGAAUCACUGGGCUUAAAGCGCGUGUAGGCGGAUGAGCACGUCUGUCGCUGAAAUCCCCCGGCUCAACCGGGGAACGGGCGCGGAUACGGCUUGUCUGGAGGGGCGUAGGGGGACCUGGAACUUCCGGUGGAGCGGUGAAAUGCGUUGAGAUCGGAAGGAA
rnacentral:rRNA from 1 species